rnacentral:rRNA from 1 species
GGGCCCGCACAAGCAGUGGAGCAUGUGGUUUAAUUCGAUGCAACGCGAAGAACCUUACCAGGGUUUGACAUCCUGCGAAUCUCUUGGAAACAGGAGAGUGCCUUCGGGAACGCAGUGACAGGUGGUGCAUGGCUGUCGUCAGCUCGUGUCGUGAGAUGUUGGUUAAGUCCCGCAACGAGCGCAACCCCUAUCGUUAGUUGCCAGCAUUAAGUUGGGCACUCUAGCGAGACUGCCGGUGAUAAGCCGGAGGAAGGCGGGAUGACGUCAAGUCCUCAUGGCCCUUAUGGGCUGGGCUACACACGUGCUACAAUGGCAGUGACAGAGGGACGCUACCAGGUGACUGG